rnacentral:rRNA from 1 species
UACGUAUGGAGCAAGCGUUAUCCGGAUUUACUGGGUGUAAAGGGAGCGUAGACGGCAUGGCAAGUCUGAUGUGAAAGGUGUGGGCUCGACCCGCAAACUGCAUUGGAAACUGUCAGGCUGGAGUGUCGGAGAGGUAAGUGGAAUUCCUAGUGUAGCGGUGAAAUGCGUAGAUAUUAGGAGGAACACCAGCGGCGAAGCGGCUUACUGGACGAUAACUGACGUUGAGGCUCGAAAGCGAGGGGAGCAAACA